AGCCCGAGGCCCAGGCCGGUGGCGGCCGUCUGCAGGAAGAGCAGGGAGCCGCCCGGCUCGGCGCCCAGCGACAGCGAGCCGUCCAGGCUGAUGGCCGGGCCGGGGGAGGCGGCGGGCGGCUCGCCGCGCUCCUGCUUCUCGUGCUUGCGCUUGUGCGAGUCCAUCUGCGACAUGCCCACGACCGUGUGGCGGCAGCCCGGGAAGCCGCACACAUAAGGAUACAGAGUCACCGUUCUCGCCGCAAGGAGCCACCACCAUCCAGUGAGGAAGGUCCCUUCCACCCCUGAGAGCUCACACCAUUGUGCAGGCACCUGCUCCAGGAACAGGCAAUGAGGUCAGAGCAGCAGCAUCUUUGGCUAGAAGGACAUCACCCGAUGACUGUAUCCCCAAGAGGCUGGGGACAGCCAGGGCUAACUGCAGAGUGAGGAGCAGGGCCUCCCCAGCUGCCCUUGCUAGCACCUACUCCCGAGACACGCAGGGGACACGGAACUCCCAGCUCAUCGAGGGACUCACUUCUCCUGGAACUGGAGGAAUCCGGGUUUGACCUGGGGCUUGGCGUUUUCUAGAGAAGUCGUUGCCAAGGGUGAAGUGGGCAGGUCGAAGAGAAACUACAAAUGCAAUAUUGUGGCUUGCAAAGACCUUCACCUAGGACCCUUGCCCGGGUCAGAGCUGGGUCUCUCCAGCUGGCUCUGCAGGGAGCAUCUGUGGUAGGGCAUCGGGCUGGGUGCAGAAGCAGCUGUUGCUCAGGGCCUCAAGGUGGGGCCCCGGGCGGGCUCAGAGGACCUGGUGGGGGGCUGAGCACGAGGAAGGAUGGGGCAGGCAGCACCUUCUGAAAAGAAGCCGACUCAGCUUCUGAGGUCUGCUGGGAACUGCACGUGUCCUGAUUGGAAGGUGGCUAGAGGCCUGUGCAGCCCGCAGCCCCACCCAGCCAAGAGCCAAGCUCGGAUGAAUGGGGCUAGGUUUAAAAUUGGCCCCCCAGGACCCCCACUCACUUGGCAUGCUUGAUGGCCCCGUCCAGGGUGCUGAAGAGCGCGCCACACUCCUCCACCACGCAGUGGAAGUGGGCCUUGUGGAGGAAGUCACACUGGGCAUCACAGAAGUCCUUGGUACCAAACCUGGCCAGAGGAGCCGGCUGGUUAGAGGAGACCCUGGGGCUCUGGCGUGGCUAGGGUAGGUGGUGGGCUGGGCACUGGCCACCAGGAUGGGUGGGCAUGGCCCUUCCCUCCCCCUUGCUCUCCCAGCAAGCCCCUCACCUGCGAAGGUACACCUUCCAGGGCUCUGACAGCUUCUCCUGAACCAGCGCCUUCACAGCCUUGCCCAGGAAGGGUGAGGGCUCCACAGCGGGGCUCCCCUCUGCUUCAGUCUUGAUGUUCAACAGGCUGCCGAGGUUGGGGUUGCCCUGAGACAUCUGUGAGGGGGACAGGGGCCG